UAAUACAGAGGGUGCGAACGUUGCUCGGAUUUACUGGGCGUAAAGCGCUUGUAGGCGGGCGAGUGUGUCGGGUGUGAAAUCCCUGAGCUUAACUCAGGAACUGCAUUCGAAACUACUUGUCUUGAGGAAUUGAGAGGAGAACGGAAUUCCCGGUGUAGAGGUGAAAUUCGUAGAUAUCGGGAGGAACACCAGAUGCGAAGGCGGUUCUCUGGAAAUUUUCUGACGCUGAGAAGCGAAAGCGUGGGGAGCAAACAGGAUUAGAUACCCUGGUAGUCCACGCCGUAAACGAUGAGCACUAGAUGCUGUAGAAAUUGACCUCCGCAGCGUCGCAGUUAACGCGUUAAGUGCUCCGCCUGGGGAGUACGGCCGCAAGGCUA
rnacentral:rRNA from 1 species